rnacentral:rRNA from 1 species
GUAGGGAAUAUUGGGCAAUGGAGGCAACUCUGACCCAGCCAUGCCGCGUGCAGGAUGACGGCCCUCUGGGUUGUAAACUGCUUUUAUACGGGAAGAAAAAAUACUACGUGUAGUAUACUGACGGUACCGUAAGAAUAAGGAUCGGCUAACUCCGUGCCAGCAGCCGCGGUAAUACGGAGGAUCCAAGCGUCGUCCGGCUUUAUUGGGUUUAAAGGGUGCGUAGGCGGAUCGUUAAGUCAGUGGUGAAAGCCUGCAGCUUAACUGUAGAAUUGCCAUUGAAACUGAAGAUCUUAACUGUGGUUAAAGUAGUCGGAAUGUAUCAUGUAGCGGUGACAUGCUUAGAGAUGAUAUAGAAAACCGAUAGCGAAGGCAGCUUGCUGAACCAUUAUUGACGCUGAGGCACGAAAGCGUGGGGAGCGAACAGGAUUAGAAACCCUUGUAGUCC